rnacentral:rRNA from 1 species
CCUACGGGUGACUGCAGUGGGGAAUAUUGGGCAAUGGGCGCAAGCCUGACCCAGCAACGCCGCGUGAAGGAAGACGGCUUUCGGGUUGUAAACUUCUUUUAAGAGGGAAGAGCAGGAGACGGUACCUCUUGAUUAAGCCACGGCUAACUACGUGCCAGCAGCCGCGGGAAUACGUAGGUGGCAAGCGUUUUCCGGGUUUACUGGGUGUACAGGGCGUGCAGCCGGGAAGACAAGUCAGAUGUGAAAUCCCGCGGCUCAACCGCGGAACUGCAUUUGAAACUGUGUGUCGUGAGUACCGGAGAGGUCAUCGGAAUUCCUUGUGUAGCGGUGAAAUGCGUAGAUAUAAGGAAGAACACCAGUGGCGAAGGCGGAUGACUGGACGGCAACUGACGGUGAGGCGCGAAAGCGUGGGGAGCAAACAGGAUUAGAUACCCCGGUAGUC